rnacentral:lncRNA from 1 species
AUGGACGCGCUUGUCCUGAUGGAAGCAUCUUCCAGGGUCAUGAACUCUGGGCCUGCAUCGAUGCACUGGGAGCUAGACACCACCAGCAACCUGCACACCGGGGCUCCUGAACGCAUCCGCACGGGUCGCGGUUCGGGGCGCGCGUCGGCGUCGUGGGAGCGUGGCGAGCAGUGGGAGUGCUGGUCGGUGUUCUUGUCUUGGAUGGAACGUUCGGAAAGGACCCGGCUAGCAGAUGUCAGGAUUCUUCCUUGGUCACGAGAGCUCAGGUUGCGUUCAUGCGUCAGGAACGUGGAGACCAUAAUGGUCACCGUCAGCUGACGGAAGCGAACUACCCUAGUCGCCAGCUCCGUGGUCGAAUCUGUGGGUGAUAGCGUGGACCCCAGUGCGAGUAAGAGUCAAAAUUC